CCUACGGGUGGCAGCAGUCGAGAAUCUUUCACAAUGGGGGAAACCCUGAUGCUGCGACGCCGCGUGGGGGAAUGAAGGUCUUCGUAUUUUAAACCCCAGUCAUGUGGGAGCAAAUGAAAAAGCUGGUCCCACAAGCGGAAGAGACGUCUAACUCAGGGCCAGCCGCCGCGGUAAUACAGAGGUCUCAAGCGUUGUUCGGAUGCACUGGGCGUAAAGUGUGCGUAGGCGGGGUCGUAAGUCGUGUGUGAAAGGCGCGGGCUCAACCCGCGGACGGCACAUGAUACUGGGAGACUCGAGUAAUGGAGGGGGAAGCGGAAGUCGCGGUGUAGCAGUGAAAUGCGUAGAUAUCGAGAGGAACACUCGUGGCGAAGGCGGGUUCCUGGACAGUAACUGACGCUGAGGCUCGAAGGCGAGGGGAGCGAAAGGGAUUAGAUACCCCAGUAGUC
rnacentral:rRNA from 1 species